rnacentral:tRNA from 1 species
AUCACCUCCUUAAAGGGAGACCUAAUUCAGGUAGGAGACGAAAAAAAAGUAGUCGCUACCAAGAAUCAAUCCCAAAAGGUCGGAGCGAGGCAAAAUUGGCUUUCAAACUAGGUUCUGGGUUCACACAAGACCUGAAUCAGGAACAAGGGCUAUUAGCUCAGGUGGUUAGAGCGCACCCCUGAUAAGGGUGAGGUCCCUGGUUCGAGUCCAGGAUGGCCCACCUGUACAGGUGGCAAAAAGAAAGAAAAAAAGCGAGGAAUCACCACCUUAUCUUACUUAUAUAGUAAGAGAGAAUGCUGGCUCUGAGUACAGAGUCCAGAGGAACCUUGAAAACUGCAUAAUU